rnacentral:rRNA from 1 species
UACGUAGGGUGCAAGCGUUGUCCGGAAUUAUUGGGCGUAAAGAGCUCGUAGGCGGCUCAGUAAGUCGGGUGUGAAACCUCCAGGCUCAACCUGGAGACGCCACCUGAUACUGCUGUGGCUAGAGUCCGGUAGGGGAGCGUGGAAUUCCUGGUGUAGCGGUGAAAUGCGCAGAUAUCAGGAGGAACACCAAUGGCGAAGGCAGCACUCUGGGACGUGACUGACGCUGAGACGCGAAAGCGUGGGGAGCAAACAGG